CCUACGGGAGGCAGCAGUGGGGAAUAUUGCACAAUGGGGGAAACCCUGAUGCAGCGACGCCGCGUGAGUGAAGAAGUAUCUCGGUACGUAAAGCUCUAUCAGCAGGGAAGAAAAUGACGGUACCUGACUAAGCCGCCCCGGCUACCUACGUGCCAGCAGCCGCGGUCAUACGUAGGGGGGAAGCGUUAUCCGGAUUUACUGGGUGUAACGGGAGCGUAGACGGGAGUGCAAGGCUGGAGUGAAAUGCCGGGGCCCAACCCCGGAACUGCUGUGGAAACUGUGCAGCUCGAGUGCAGGAGAGGUAAGCGGAAUUCGUAGUGUAGCGGUGAAAUGCGUAGAUAUUAGGAGGAACACCAGUGGCGAAGGCGGCUUACUGGACUGUAACUGACGUUGAGGCUCGAAAGCGUGGGGAGCAAACAGGAUUAGAUACCCCUGUAGUC
rnacentral:rRNA from 1 species